rnacentral:rRNA from 1 species
UUGGCGAGUUUGAUCCUGGCUCAGGAUAAACGCUGGCGGCGUGCCUAACACAUGCAAGUCGAACGCCCUUAGCAAUAAGGGAGUGGCGGACGGGUGAGGAACACGUGGGUCAUCUACCUUUCGGUGAGGAAUACCGGCGAGAAAUCGCCGACAAUACCGCAUACGCUCGCAAGAGCAAAGUUCGCAAGAGCGCCGGAAGAUGAGCCUGCGGCCGAUUAGUUAGUUGGUGGGGUAAUGGCCUACCAAGGCGUCGAUCGGUAGCUGGUCUGAGAGGACGAUCAGCCACACUGGGAUUGAGAACGGCCCAGACUCCUACGGGGGGCAGCAGUGAGGAAUUUUCGUCAAUGGGGGCAACCCUGAACGAGCAACGCCGCGUGCAGGAAGAAGGUUUUCGGAUCGUAAACUGCUUUUCUCUGGGACGAGAACGGACGGUACCAGAGGAAUCAGCCUCGGCUAACUACGUGCCAGCAGCCGCGGUAAUACGUAGGAGGCAAGCGUUGUCCGGAUUUAUUGGGCGUAAAGCGCACGCAGGCGGUCGUAUCAGUCCAGGGUGACAGUUUCCGGCUUAACCGGAAAAGGACUCUGGAGACGGCACGACUUGAGGGCUUCAGAGGGAUGUGGAAUUCCAGGUGGAGUGGUGAAAUGCGUAGAGAUCUGGAAGAACACCAAAGGCGAAGGCAACAUCCUGGGGAGUCACUGACGCUCGGGUGCGAAAGCUAGGGGAGCGAACGGGAUUAGAUACCCCGGUAGUCCUAGCCGUAAACGAUGACCACUAGACGUUGGGGGUAUCGACCCCUCCAGUGUCGCAGUUAACACAAUAAGUGGUCCGCCUGGGGAGUACGGUCGCAAGAUUAAAACUCAAAGGAAUUGACGGGGACCCGCACAAGCAGCGGAGCGUGUGGUUUAAUUCGAUGCAACGCGAAGAACCUUACCAGGACUUGACAUGCAAAUGCACCAGCGGUAACGCGCUGUCUCCUUCGGGAGCGUUUGCACAGGUGCUGCAUGGCUGUCGUCAGCUCGUGUCGUGAGAUGUUGGGUUAAGUCCCGCAACGAGCGCAACCCCUAUCGUUAGUUGUACUUUUCUAGCGAGACUGCCGGUCAAACGGAGGAAGGAGGGGAUGACGUCAAGUCAGCACGGCCCUUACGUUCUGGGCGACACACACGCUACAAUGGUCAGGACAAUGGGAUGCGAACCCGCGAGGGGGAGCAAAUCUAAGCAAACCUGAUCUCAGUUCGGAUUGGAGGCUGCAACCCGCCUCCAUGAAGUUGGAGUUGCUAGUAACCGCAAGUCAGCACAUUGCGGUAAAUACGUUCCCGGGUCUUGUACACACCGCCCGUCACACCACGAAAGUCGGCAACACCUGAAGCCGCCAGGCUAACCCGCAAGGGAGGCAAGCGUCGAGGGUGGGGUCGGUGAUUGGGGUGAAGUCGUAACAAGGUAGCCGUACCGGAAGGUGCGGCUGGAUCACCUCCUUU